rnacentral:rRNA from 1 species
AGCAGCCGCGGUAAUUCCAGCUCCAAUAGCGUAUAUUAAAGUUGUUGCAGUUAAAAGCUCGUAGUUGAAUUUCGGGGUUAGUAGGUUGGCCAUGCCUCUGGUAUGUACUGGUCUCACUGAUUCCUCCUUCCUGAUGAACCGUAAUGCCAUUAAUUUGGUGUUGCGGGGAAUCUGGACUGUUACUUUGAAAAAAUUAGAGUGUUAAAGCAGGCUAACGCUUGAAUACAUUAGCAUGGAAUAAUGAAAUAGGACGUUCGAUCCUAUUUUGUUGGUUUCUAGGAUUGACGUAAUGAUUAAUAGGGAUAGUUGGGGGCAUUAGUAUUCAAUUGUCAGAGGUGAAAUUCUUGGAUUUAUUGAAGACUAACUACUGCGAAAGCAUUUGCCAAGGAUGUUUUCAUUAAUCAAGAACGAAGUUAGGGGAUCGAAGACGAUCAGAUACCGUCGUAGUCUUAACCAUAAAACUAUGCCGACUAGGGAUCGGAUGAUGUUAAUUUUUUUAAUGACUCAUUCGGCGCCUUAU